UACGCCCGAUCUCGUCCGAUCUCGGAAGCUAAGCAGGGUCGGGCCUGCUUAGUACUUGGAUGGGAGACCGCCUGGGAAUGCCAGGUGCUGUAAGCUUGCUUACGGCCAUACCAGCCUG
rnacentral:rRNA from 1 species